GGCUCGGUCAAGAUGGAGUCUUGCGAGCAGCGAGCGGUCGGUCAUCCCUGUGCGGCGUGGAGAGCGGCGGUGCUUUCCUGGUGAUGCCGGCCUGGGAUUUCUCCGUGGAGAGGCGGGUCUGAUUGUCGCAAGGUCGUUCCUUGGAGUGGGCGACGGCCGUUGCGGGCAGUCCUGGACCUGGCCGGAGGUGCUGGUUGGCUGCGGACCCUCGUGCAGGCUGGGAGUGGAUGUGUGGCCGCGGUUUCCCUGCCGGGUGGUCGGUCGUUGGUCCUCGGCUAUGCAGCUACUUCGGCAAGUGCUGCGGUGGCGGCGGUGUGAGGCUUCUUGGCAGUGCUACCAAUCCCAUGGAGGCGUGGCGAUGGGCGAAGCGCGGAUGAAAAUUUUGCACGGCUUCUGCCGGGCCGGCGGUGAUGGCAUCUGUGGAUGUCAUUCCCCUCCUUGGAGGCAUCGUCGAGCGUGUUCGCCUCAUCCCUCGCGCUCCCGGUGUUGGUGGAUGUCUCCGGGUGAAAGCCUAGAUUCGAUGUUCGGAUCGGCACGAUGGCGGUGUCCUCGACGCCGCUCCUCUGUUGGGAGCAUUGUGUUUGGAGACACGACUGGUUCCUCGUUGCUCUCCUCCGGUGUUCGCCGCUAUCCUUUUCUGAUCUUCAGUGGCGCUAUGUACGUUGGUCGUCGGUGAAUCCAAGGCGGCGUCU
rnacentral:rRNA from 1 species